rnacentral:rRNA from 1 species
AGAGUUUGAUCCUGGCUCAGAACGAACGUUGGCGGCGUGGAUUAGGCAUGCAAGUCGAGCGGGAUCCUGUUUUUUCAAUUCUUCGGAAGAGAAGUUUCAGGUGAGAGCGGCGCACGGGUGAGUAAUAUAUGGGUAAUUUGCCUCUUUGUCCGGGAUAGCCCGAGGAAACUCGGAUUAAUACCGGAUGUGUUCAGGUACCGCAUGGUACCUUAUAUAAAGGCGGGGAUCUUCGGACCUUUCGCAAAGAGAUAAGCCCAUAUCCUAUCAGCUUGUUGGUGAGGUAACGGCUCACCAAGACUUACGGGUAGCUGGUCUGAGAGGAUGAUCAGCCACACUGGAACUGAGACACGGUCCAGACUCCUACGGGAGGCUGCAGUCGAGAAUCAUUGUCAAUGCACGGAAGUGUGAACAUGCGACGCCGCGUGGAGGAAGACGGCCUUCGGGUUGUAAACUCCUGUCAGCAGGGAGGAAAAACAGCAUCACUAAUAUUGGUGUUGUUUGACAGUACCUGCAGAGAAAGUCACGGCUAACUCUGUGCCAGCAGCCGCGGUAAUACAGAGGUGGCGAACGUUGUUCGGAUUUACUGGGCGUAAAGGGUCCGCAGGCGGUUCGGUGUGUCGGAUGUGAAAGCUCACAGCUUAACUGUGGAAAUGCAUUCGAAACUGCCGGACUAGAGUACUGGAGAGGUGAAGGGAACACUUGGUGUAGCGGUGAAAUGCGUAGAUAUCAAGUGGAACACCGGAGGCGAAGGCGCUUCACUGGACAGAUACUGACGCUCAUGGACGAAAGCUAGGGUAGCGAAAGGGAUUAGAUACCCCUGUAGUCCUAGCCGUAAACGGUGUGCACUAGACGUGGGUGGAUUUACCCCCAUCCGUGUCUGAGCUAACGCAUUAAGUGCACCGCCUGGGGAGUACGGUCGCAAGAUUAAAACUCAAAGGAAUUGACGGGGACCCGCACAAGCGGUGGAGCAUGUGGCUUAAUUCGAUGCAACGCGAAGAACCUUACCUGGACUUGACAUACAGCUGCAUACGACCUGAAAGGGACGUAGCCUUCGAGGGUGCUGUACAGGUGCUGCAUGGCUGUCGUCAGCUCGUGCCGUGAGGUGUUGGGUUAAGUCCCGCAACGAGCGCAACCCUUGUGUUUAGUUGCCAGCACGUAAUGGUGGGAACUCUAAACAGACUGCUUGUGAAAACAAGAGGAAGGUGGGGAUGACGUCAAGUCAGUAUGGUCCUUAUGUCCAGGGCUGCACACGUGCUA